UGGGGAUUGGUGUAAUUGGCAGCACGCGAGUUUCUGGUAUUCGUAGUCGGGGUUCAAGUCCCUGAUCCCCAG
rnacentral:tRNA from 1 species